rnacentral:rRNA from 1 species
GAUGAACGCCGGCGGCGUGCCUAAUACAUGCCAGUCGAGCGAACGGACGAGAAGCUUGCUUCUCUGAUGUUAGCGGCGGACGGGUGAGUAACACGUGGAUAACCUACCUAUAAGACUGGGAUAACUUCGGGAAACCGGAGCUAAUACCGGAUGAUAUUUUGAACCGCAUGGUUCAAAAGUGAAAGACGGUCUUGCUGUCACUUAUAGAUGGAUCCGCGCUGCAUUAGCUAGUUGGUAAGGUAACGGCUUACCAAGGCAACGAUGCAUAGCCGACCUGAGAGGGUGAUCGGCCACACUGGAACUGAGACACGGUCCAGACUCCUACGGGAGGCAGCAGUAGGGAAUCUUCCGCAAUGGGCGAAAGCCUGACGGAGCAACGCCGCGUGAGUGAUGAAGGUCUUCGGAUCGUAAAACUCUGUCAUUAGGGAAGAACAUAUGUGUAAGUAACUGUGCAUAUCUUGACGGUACCUAAUCAGAAAGCCACGGCUAACUACGUG